rnacentral:rRNA from 1 species
AACGUAGGUUCCGAGCGUUAUCCGGAUUUACUGGGCGUAAAGGGCGCGUAGGCGGUCAGCACAAGUCAGUUGUGAAAUCUCCGGGCUUAACUCGGAAAGGUCAACUGAUACUGUGCGACUAGAGUGCAGAAGGGGCAACUGGAAUUCUCGGUGUAGCGGUGAAAUGCGUAGAUAUCGAGAGGAACACCUGCGGCGAAGGCGGGUUGCUGGGCUGACACUGACGCUGAGGCGCGAAAGCCAGGGGAGCGAACGGG